rnacentral:rRNA from 1 species
AGCCCCUGGAGGUCUCGUAGAGGCGGCAGCACUUGCAGAUAAAAGCACCCAAUGGGAGCUUCCUCUUCUCCCCCUCUUACGCCCGGUCCUGCCCACGUACGGCCGGCAGGGCCGGGCAGGGCACACUCCGUUAUCCAAUCCGGCGUCCGUGCACGCAGCGCACACCAUGUAGGCCACAAGAUCUCAGAUAGCUUAUGUCAUGGUGGUGGCAUAAGCUACCAGUACCAGCUGCAUGCCUGUGCUCUUCUUCAAUUGGAGGCUUGGAGUGUGCCCUGGGCCGGCCAUGGCCCAUGGGCGCGUACGUAGCAGCCGAUGGAUCCGGCGUUGGCUAGCUAUCUCUGGCCUACAUCAAGCUGCAGCUGGCUAGGCUACUUGGGUUCUUGAGGAAGCUCGGGGUGAAACGGCCAUGGCUGGCCGGCAGGGCGGCCUCGUCCACGGCGGCGGCGGCGACUUCUCACCUCUACUAAGGUAGGGCAACUUCUAUCCUUUGGCAAUUGUAACUUCUCGAUCGGGGAGCGUGAUGAUCUCUCUCCUGUGAGUACCGGUGACGAUCAUAGCAUGGUGCGAGUCUUCAGUGUCGUGUAACUACUAGUAGCUAGCUAUACCAAAUUGAUAUGAAGCUAGCUAGUGGUAGCUAGUAUGGGUGUGUGUGUAUGAUCCUGCUUGAAUCCUUCGAUUCUGCUAUCUAUGGGCAGUGUAUUUGUUGAGUUUUGUAUCUGGUAAUAUCUCUUUUGUUAACCCCGGCCGUAUAUUGACUAGUGUAAUCAUCAAUAAAUAUAAUUUGAUAUGUAUGCACACAGAUUGUGUUUGUAACAUACUGGUUCUUCUCCGUUGAUGCAAACCAGCCGGUCGCCGUCGAUGGCAGCAUGUUCUGUUCUGUUGGUUUUGCAAUUUGUAGUGUAGAUAGUACUCAGUUGAGACAUUUAUUUUCAGACGGGGGAGUAGUAUUAGCUUUCAGAUAUUUUAUUCGAAAUGAUAGGAUUUCCGCAUUCAUUAAGAAGAAUAGAGUUGCUCAGUUAAUUAAGAAACACCGAGCGAAAACCAGAUGCCCGGUUAAUUCUAGAGAACCGGGCGAAAAACAUCACAACCACUGAGCGACACACAUAAGAAACCCAUGCACACCACUCCAAAGACCUUGUCGAGAGCAUGCAGGUGUCAUCGUCAUCACUCCUCCCCAAGAGGCGUCAUCGCCAUCCCAAAAUUCGCAGCAAACGACUCCGACUUUGCCGUAGGCGAUCGUCAACUCAACCCACGCCAUUGCGGACGUUUGAAGUUGCAUGAAGAUCUGGGCCAAAACUCAGCCACCUGCGGCAAGACAACGCAGC